rnacentral:rRNA from 2 species
CUGCGGAGGGAUCAUUACACAAAUAUGAAGGCGGGCUGGAACCUCUCGGGGUUACAGCCUUGCUGAAUUAUUCACCCUUGUCUUUUGCGUACUUCUUGUUUCCUUGGUGGGUUCGCCCACCACUAGGACAAACAUAAACCUUUUGUAAUUGCAAUCAGCGUCAGUAACAAAUUAAUAAUUACAACUUUCAACAACGGAUCUCUUGGUUCUGGCAUCGAUGAAGAACGCAGCGAAAUGCGAUAAGUAGUGUGAAUUGCAGAAUUCAGUGAAUCAUCGAAUCUUUGAACGCACAUUGCGCCCUUUGGUAUUCCAAAGGGCAUGCCUGUUCGAGCGUCAUUUGUACCCUCAAGCUUUGCUUGGUGUUGGGCGUCUUGUCUCUAGCUUUGCUGGAGACUCGCCUUAAAGUAAUUGGCAGCCGGCCUACUGGUUUCGGAGCGCAGCACAAGUCGCACUCUCUAUCAGCAAAGGUCUAGCAUCCAUUAAGCCUUUUUUUCAACU